UACGAAGGGGGCUAGCGUUGUUCGGAAUUACUGGGCGUAAAGCGCGCGCAGGCGGCUAUCCAAGUCAGUGGUGAAAGCCCGGAGCUCAACUCCGGAACUGCCAUUGAAACUGUUUAGCUUGAGGACGAGAGAGGUGAGUGGAAUUCCCAGUGUAGAGGUGAAAUUCGUAGAUAUUGGGAAGAACACCGGUGGCGAAGGCGGCCCACUGGAUCGGUACUGACGCUGAGGUGCGAAAGCGUGGGGAGCAAACAGG
rnacentral:rRNA from 1 species